UACGUAGGUGGCAAGCGUUGUCCGGAAUUAUUGGGCGUAAAGCGCGCGCAGGCGGUCUUUUAAGUCUGAUGUGAAAGCCCACGGCUCAACCGUGGAGGGUCAUUGGAAACUGGGGGACUUGAGUGCAGGAGAGAAGAGUGGAAUUCCACGUGUAGCGGUGAAAUGCGUAGAGAUGUGGAGGAACACCAGUGGCGAAGGCGACUCUUUGGCCUGUAACUGACGCUGAGGCGCGAAGACGUGGGGAGCAAACAGG
rnacentral:rRNA from 1 species